rnacentral:rRNA from 1 species
UCGCCUCAACUCGUGUGAGACUACCCCCUAAAUUUAAGCAU